rnacentral:rRNA from 1 species
UACGGAGGGUGCAAGCGUUGUCCGGAAUCACUGGGCGUAAAGGGCGUGUAGGCGGCUCAUGAAGGCUGUGGUGAAAGUCCGGGGCUCAACCUCGGAUCGGCCGUGGCGACUCGUGGGCUGGAGCACUGUAGAGGCAGGUGGAAUUCCGGGUGUAGCGGUGGAAUGCGUAGAGAUCCGGAAGAACACCAGUGGCGAAGGCGACUUACUGGACACAUAUUGACGCUGAGGUGCGAAAGCGUGGGGAGCAAACAGG